CCUACGGGAGGCAGCAGUGAGGAAUAUUGGUCAAUGGGCGGAAGCCUGAACCAGCCAAGUCGCGUGAGGGAAUAAGGCCCUACGGGUCGUAAAACUCAUUUGCCGGGGAGCAAGGGCGGGGACGUGUCCCGGCCCGGAGAGUAGCAGGAGAAAAAGCAUCGGCGAACUCCGUGCCAGCAGCCGCGGUAAUACGGAGGAUGCGAGGGGUAUCCGGAGUGAUUGGGUUGAAAGGGUGCGUAGGCGGGCUUGUAAGUCAGAGGUAAAAAUUCGGGGCUCAACCGCGUCCGGCCGUUGAAACUGGGCGCCUUGAGGGGGCGAGAAGAAGGCGGAAUGCGUGGUGUAGCGGUGAAAUGCAUAGAUAUCACGCAGAACCCCGAUUGCGAAGGCAGCCUUCCGGCGCCCUACUGACGCUUAGGCACGAAAGUGCGGGGAUCGAACAGGAUUAGAUACCCCUGUAGUC
rnacentral:rRNA from 1 species